UACGUAGGGGGCAAGCGUUGUCCGGAAUCAUUGGGCGUAAAGCGCGCGUAGGCGGCCCGGUAAGUCCGCUGUAAAAGUCCAGGGCUUAACCCUGGAAAGCCGGUGGAUACUGUCGGGCUAGAGUCCGGAAGAGGCGAGUGGAAUUCCUGGUGUAGCGGUGGAAUGCGCAGAUAUCAGGAGGAACACCAGUGGCGAAGGCGGUUGCCUGGAGCUUUGCUGACGCUGAUGCGCGAAAGCGUGGGGAGCGAUCCGG
rnacentral:rRNA from 1 species